AGUGAACGCUGGCGGUAGGCCUAACACAUGCAAGUCGAACGGCAGCACAGUAAGAGCUUGCUCUUACGGGUGGCGAGUGGCGGACGGGUGAGGAAUACAUCGGAAUCUACUUUUUCGUGGGGGAUAACGUAGGGAAACUUACGCUAAUACCGCAUACGGCCUACGGGUGAAAGCAGGGGAUCUUCGGACCUUGCGCGAUUGAAUGAGCCGAUGUCGGAUUAGCUAGUUGGCGGGGUAAAGGCCCACCAAGGCGACGAUCCGUAGCUGGUCUGAGAGGAUGAUCAGCCACACUGGAACUGAGACACGGUCCAGACUCCAACGGGAGGCAGCAGUGGGGAAUAUUGGACAAUGGGCGCAAGCCUGAUCCAGCCAUACCGCGUGGGUGAAGAAGGCCUUCGGGUUGUAAAGCCCUUUUGUUGGGAAAGAAAAGCAGCAGGUUAAUACCCCGCUGUUCUGACGGUACCCAAAGAAUAAGCACCGGCUAACUUCGUG
rnacentral:rRNA from 1 species